rnacentral:rRNA from 1 species
CAGCCGCCGCGGUAAUACGAAGGGGGCUAGCGUUGCUCGGAAUCACUGGGCGUAAAGGGUGCGUAGGCGGGUUCUUAAGUUAGAGGUGAAAGCCUGGAGCUCAACUCCAGAACUGCCUUUAAUACUGGGAAUCUUGAGUUCGGAAGAGGUAAGUGGAACUGCGAGUGUAGAGGUGAAAUUCGUAGAUAUUCGCAAGAACACCAGUGGCGAAGGCGACUCUCUGGUCUGUAACUGACGCUGAGGAGCGAAAGCGUGGGGAGCGAACAGGAUUAGAUACCCCUGUAGUCCCUGUCUCUUAUAC